UCGAGAGGCUUUGGCAAUGGGGGAAACCCUGACCAAGCGACGCCGCGUGGAGGAUGAAGGCCCUUGGGUUGUAAACUCCUUUUGUUGGGGAAGAAAUGCGACCAGGUAAAUAAUCUGGUCGUUUGACGGUACCCGACGAAUAAGCUCCGGCUAACUCCGUGCCAGCAGCCGCGGUAACACGGGGGGAGCAAGCGUUGUUCGGAAUCACUGGGCGUAAAGGGCGUGUAGGCGGUCGAGUGAGUGGAAUGUGAAAUGCCCCGGCUCACCCGGGGACCGGCAUUCCAUACUGCUCGGCUCGAGUAUGGGAGAGGAUGAGGGAAUUCCUGGUGUAGCGGUGAAAUGCGUAGAUAUCAGGAGGAACACCGGUGGCGAAAGCGCUCAUCUGGCCCAAUACUGACGCUGAGGCGCGAAAGCUAGGGGAGCAAACGG
rnacentral:rRNA from 1 species